UUAUACAGCGAAACUGCGAAUGGCUCAUUAUAUAAGUUAUCGUUUAUUUGAUAGUACCUUACUACUUGGAUAACCGUGGUAAUUCUAGAGCUAAUACAUGCUAAAAAUCCCGACUUCGGAAGGGAUGUAUUUAUUAGAUUAAAAACCAAUGCCCUCUGGGCUCUCUGGUGAUUCAUGAUAACUUCUCGAAUCGCAUGGCCUUGCGCCGGCGAUGGUUCAUUCAAAUUUCUUCCCUAUCAACUUUCGAUGUUUGGGUAGUGGCCAAACAUGGUUGCAACGGGUAACGGAGGGUUAGGGCUCGACCCCGGAGAAGGAGCCUGAGAAACGGCUACUACAUCCAAGGAAGGCAGCAGGCGCGCAAAUUACCCAAUCCCGACACGGGGAGGUAGUGACAAUAAAUACUGAUACAGGGCUCUUUUGGGUCUUGUAAUUGGAAUGAGUACAAUUUAAAUCCCUUAACGAGGAACAAUUGGAGGGCAAGUCUGGUGCCAGCAGCCGCGGUAAUUCCAGCUCCAAUAGCGUAUAUUAAAGUUGUUGUGGUUAAAAAGCUCGUAGUUGAACCUUGGGCCUGGCUGGCCGGUCCGCCUCACCGCGUGUACUGGUCCGGCCGGGCCUUUCCCUCUGUGGAACCCCAUGCCCUUCACUGGGUGUGGCGGGGAAACAGGACUUUUACUUUGAAAAAAUUAGAGUGCUCCAGGCAGGCCUAUGCUCGAAUACAUUAGCAUGGAAUAAUGAAAUAGGACGUGCGGUUCUAUUUUGUUGGUUUCUAGGACCGCCGUAAUGAUUAAUAGGGACAGUCGGGGGCAUCAGUAUUCAAUUGUCAGAGGUGAAAUUCUUGGAUUUAUUGAAGACUAACUACUGCGAAAGCAUUUGCCAAGGAUGUUUUCAUUAAUCAGGAACGAAAGUUAGGGGAUCGAAGACGAUCAGAUACCGUCGUAGUCUUAACCAUAAACUAUGCCGACUAGGGAUCGGACGAUGUUAUUUUUUGACUCGUUCGGCACCUUACGAGAAAUCAAAGUGCUUGGNCUCCAGGG
rnacentral:rRNA from 1 species